CAUUGCAGUGCUAUGGAAACAGAAAACCAGAAGUUCUGCCAAAUAUCCACCAGUGUUUUCUUCAGUCCCUUAAAGUGUGAAGCACCGAGGAAAUAGAGGGAAAAGAAGAAAAAAAAUUUGAAAGAAAUAAUGGCUGAAUAUUUCCAACAACUGAGAAAGUGAAGUUGUUUUCAGAUAAAGAGAUGAGAAGAUCAGAUCAUGGCUUAAAAAGCAGGGCGGCAAAGAAGAAGUAUAAUAAUGUAACAUUCACAUUUAAAUCCAUUUAAAGAAUCUUCAGUUUAUCUAAGAGAGAAAUAGCUAAAAUGCAUCAGAGUAAAAGAAAGAAAACACUUGUAUAAUGGAUUAUGUUGAAAUUCUCUUACUACUCAGUAAUACUGUGUGAAAGAUACAGUGCAUUAGUAUCUUCAGGUUUUUUAUGGAAAAUUGUUUCACUACCCAUGCCCGUGUAAUUAGACUUAAUUUUGAUCUUGUCAGGUGACCAUAUGACCACACCAUUAGUUUCCUUUCUAGGUACAUUUUCUGCACCUAAAAGGAUUUAGCAGUAGUCACCAAUUCUUUCUCAAAUUUUAACAAAUCUUUAUUUGUGUGUGGUCUGCAGUUAGGUCUUAAUAAAGGCAUCACUGGAUUAUUAAGAAAACAUUUUAUUCCCCAAAUAUACCUGCCUUGAAAUUUCUGGCAUGUGUGUGUUUUUUUUUCUUAAUCAAUUAUCUUGCCAAUCUGGCCAGUAAUUUUGUGAGCUCAUCUUUUUUUUUUUUUUUUUUUUAUUCUAGAAACAACCCAUUCCAACAACUGACAUUAUGUUUUGAAACCAUUUCACCCAAACCCAUAAAUCAUUUAGGAACAUGUACUUCCCAUGUUAUCAUAGGAACACUUGAGCUACUGUUUCUCUGCUAUGUGUACUGAGUCUCCAUUGUGUAGCCUCCUAUGCCAGUGAGGAUAUAAGGAUAUCAUCCACCGCCCAGUCUCAAUAUCUGUGCUUUGAAAUAUAUUAGUAGCCUUCCCCUAGUUUCAGCUUUGUUUAUCAGCUUUUCAUGGGCUAAUUCCUGGCUUUCGAUGAACAGAGGGGAAAAAACAAAUGAACAAACAAAAAAAAGUACAAACCUAAUUUGUGUUAUUAUUCAAAGUCAAUCUUUACAUUGGAUUAUCCCUUUAAUUCUGGCUCUGCUCAAUAGCCAAAUAAAUUUGGAAUAAUAUGUCUGAGCAAUAUAAAAGAAUUAUAGCAAUCUAUAGAAGAAUAUUGUAGAUUACCACAGUUGUUUUAGAUUGUUUAAAGCCCUUAAAUUUAAGGCAAAUUAAGAGAUUGAAAAUAAGACCUUAUGCAUAAUUUUCAAAUUAUUUGAUAAUAAAACUUAACUCUCUGUUCCUUACUCUUUGCCUCCUUCCCAUUUUUUUCCUGGCUCUGUCCCUCUCCUCUCAUGUUUUUGGAGCAUCUGCAGAGAGCAGAGUUCCACAAAAUACAUUUUUAUUUGCACUGUCUUCAAGCAAAAGGAGGCACAAUGCAAUUACUUAGAAAUUGAUUAUUCAUUCUAUUAUACUUUUACCAAAACAGAUAUAAUAGUGUUAUUUAUCAAAUUAGGUUUUGAUAUCAUUAUAAAAUGAAUAAAUUUCAUGGGAAG
rnacentral:lncRNA from 10 species